GAUGAAGAACGCAGCGAAAUGCGAUACGUAAUGUGAAUUGCAGAAUUCAGUGAAUCAUCGAGUCUUUGAACGCACAUUGCGCCCCCUGGUAUUCCGGGGGGCAUGCCUGUCCGGGCGUCAUUGCUGCCCUCAAGCACGGCUUGUGUGUUGGGCCUCCGUCCUCCUCCCGGGGGACGGGCCCGAAAGGCAGCGGCGGCACCGCGUCCGGUCCUCGAGCGUAUGGGGCUUCGUCACCCGCUCUUGUAGGCCCGGCCGGCGCUUGCCGACACAUCAAUCUUUUUUCCAGGUUGACCUCGGAUCAGGUAGGGAUACCCGCUGAACUUAAGCAUAUCAUAAGCGGAGGA
rnacentral:misc_RNA from 1 species